UAGUAAAUGUCUUAUUGCACUGGGAAGAUAGGGAAGAAAAAUAGUAACUGACACUCUGCUUCAUUCCAGGUGGGAGUAAAAAACAACAGUUUUCCUCACCGUUUACAAGCCAGUUAAGAAUUUGACUGACAGAAUGUUGGCACCAGCUGUGGCAGAACUGAUCAGCCUCAACUCCAAAUCUCUAUCCUGAGACAAAACAACAGGAUGUGCCUUGGAGAAGAAAUUCCCUGAAAUUGAGUAUAUGAUACAUUUUUCAAGAGAAUUUUAGCUGACACCAAUGAUAAACUUGCAUCAGUUUGUCUUAUGCCAAAGAAAUACUCUUUGAUGAGAAGAAAAUGAAGAAUUGUUCAUGGAGAGAAACUAGGUAAGUAUGAAUUUUGUUUUUUUAUUUGCAAAGUGACAGUCUGAU
rnacentral:lncRNA from 1 species